rnacentral:rRNA from 1 species
UACGUAGGGUCCAAGCGUUAAUCGGAAUUACUGGGCGUAAAGCGUGCGCAGGCGGUUCGCAAAGACAGGUGUGAAAUCCCCGGGCUUAACCUGGGAACUGCGCUUGUAACUAGCGGGCUAGAGUACGGCAGAGGGGGGUGGAAUUCCACGUGUAGCAGUGGAAAUGCGUAGAGAUGUGGAGGAACACCGAUGGCGAAGGCAGCCCCCUGGGCUAGUACUGACGCUCAUGCACAAAAGCGUGGGGAGCAAACAGGAAUUAGAUACCGGGACGGUCAGACCAA